AGACCCGAAACCCGGUGAUCUAGCCAUGGGCAGGUUGAAGGUUGGGUAACACUAACUGGAGGACCGAACCGACUAAUGUUGAAAAAUUAGCGGAUGACCUGUGGCUGGGGGUGAAAGGCCAAUCAAACCGGGAGAUAGCUGGUUCUCCCCGAAAGCUAUUUAGGUAGCGCCUCGUGAAUUCAUCUCCGGGGGUAGAGCACUGUUUCGGCUAGGGGGCCAUCCCGGCUUACCAACCCGAUGCAAACUGCGAAUACCGGAGAAUGUUAUCACGGGAGACACACGGCGGGUGCUAACGUCCGUCGUGAAGAGGGAAACAACCCAGACCGCCAGCUAAGGUCCCAAAGUCAUGGUUAAGUGGGAAACGAUGUGGGAAGGCCCAGACAGCCAGGAUGUUGGCUUAGAAGCAGCCAUCAUUUAAAGAAAGCGUAAUAGCUCACUGGUCGAGUCGGCCUGCGCGGAAGAUGUAACGGGGCUAAACCAUGCACCGAAGCUGCGGCAGCGAACGUAUCACUUAAAGCGAUUCAGCGGGUUACGAUUGACGGAGCGAAGCGACGUCAAAGCGUAUACAAAGUCGAGUCGGUUUAAGGAUACGUUCGUUGGGUAGGGGAGCGUUCUGUAAGCCUGUGAAGGUGGCCUGUGAGGGUUGCUGGAGGUAUCAGAAGUGCGAAUGCUGACAUAAGUAACGAUAAAGCGGGUGAAAAGCCCGCUCGCCGGAAGACCAAGGGUUCCUGUCCAACGUUAAUCGGGGCAGGGUGAGUCGACCCCUAAGGCGAGGCCGAAAGGCGUAGUCGAUGGGAAACAGGUUAAUAUUCCUGUACUUGGUGUUACUGCGAAGGGGGGACGGAGAAGGCUAUGUUGGCCGGGCGACGGUUGUCCC
rnacentral:rRNA from 1 species